rnacentral:rRNA from 1 species
UACGAGGGGGGCAAAUGUUGUUCGGAAUUACUGGGCGUAAAGCGAGUGUAGGUGGUUUUCCAAGUUGGAUGUGAAAGCCUUGAGCUCAACUCAAGAAAUGCAUUCAGGACUGGAAGACUAGAGGACCGGAGAGGAUAGUGGAAUUCCCAGUGUAGUGGUGAAAUACGUAGAGAUUGGGAAGAACACCAGUGGCGAAGGCGGCUAUCUGGACGGUUUCUGACACUAAGACUCGAAAGCGUGGGGAGCAAACAGG